rnacentral:lncRNA from 1 species
UCGUCCGCUCUCAUUGGCUCUGCUGAGUGGCUGAGCUCCCUUCGGGCCCAUGUUGUGCGCACUGGCAUUGGACGAGCCCGGGCAGAACUCUUUGAGAAGCAGAUUGUUCAGCAUGGCGGCCAGCUAUGCCCUGCCCAGGGCCCAGGUGUCACUCACAUUGUGGUGGAUGAAGGCAUGGACUAUGAGCGAGCCCUCCGCCUUCUCAGACUACCCCAGCUGCCCCCGGGUGCUCAGCUGGUGAAGUCAGCCUGGCUGAGCUUGUGCCUUCAGGAGAGGAGGCUGGUGGAUGUAGCUGGAUUCAGCAUCUUCAUCCCCAGUAGGAGGCCUGCAGUAUCCCUGGGAUUGGGAAGCGGAUGGCUGAGAAAAUCAUAGAGAUCCUGGAGAGCGGGCAUUUGCGGAAGCUGGACCAUAUCAGUGAGAGCGUGCCUGUCUUGGAGCUCUUCUCCAACAUCUGGGGAGCUGGGACCAAGACUGCCCAGAUGUGGUACCAACAGGGCUUCCGAAGUCUGGAAGACAUCCGCAGCCAGGCCUCCCUGACAACCCAGCAGGCCAUCGGCCUGAAGCAUUACAGUGACUUCCUGGAACGUAUGCCCAGGGAGGAGGCUACAGAGAUUGAGCAGACAGUCCAGAAAGCAGCCCAGGCCUUUAACUCUGGGCUGCUGUGUGUGGCAUGUGGUUCAUACCGACGGGGAAAGGCGACCUGUGGUGAUGUCGACGUGCUCAUCACUCACCCAGAUGGCCGGUCCCACCGGGGUAUCUUCAGCCGCCUCCUUGACAGUCUUCGGCAG